rnacentral:tRNA from 1 species
GCCCAGAUGGUGAAAUUGGUAGACACGCCAGACUUAGGAUCUGGUGCCGUGAGGUGUGUAGGUUCGAGUCCUAUUCUGGGCA